ensembl:lncRNA
CCCGGUACCUGCACUCUCUCGUUGCCCAAGACUGGCCUCGCUGCUCCUGCCCUUCGGCCUCGGACCGUCGGAACAUCGUGUAACGGGACUGCUGCCGGAUCCUGGUGGUUACAGAGAAUGAGGGAGGAAAGCCAGUAUCACUCCAGUCUUCAAAAAGGUUAAGGAUUGGCCUGCUGGAAAGGAGCCCUGCAGAGAAACAGUCCAGUGGAGGGCCGCAAGGAUUAUUAUGAGCCUGGAGCCCCUUAUUUCCUUAUGAGGAGAAGAUGAGAGACCUGGAACUCUCCAGUCUGGAGAAGACUGAGAGGGGAUAU